rnacentral:rRNA from 1 species
UACGAAGGGUGCAAACGUUGCUCGGAAUUAUUGGGCGUAAAGCGCACGUAGGCGGCUUUGUAAGUCGGAUGUGAAAUCCCUCGGCUUAACCAAGGAAGUGCAUCCGAAACUACAGAGCUUGAGUACUUAAGAGGAUCGCGGAAUUCCCGGUGUAGAGGUGAAAUUCGUAGAUAUUCGGAAGAACACCAGUGGCGAAGGCGGCUCACUGGCCCGGUACUGACGCUGAGGUGCGAAAGCGUGGGGAGCAAACAGG